UACGGAGGAUCCAAGCGUUAUCCGGAAUUACUGGGCGUAAAGAGUUGCGUAGGUGGCAGAGUAAGUUGGUAGUGAAAGCGUGGGGCUCAACCCCAUAUCCAUUACUAAAACUGCUCAGCUAGAGGAUGAGAGAGGUCGUUGGAAUUCCCAGUGUAGGAGUGAAAUCCGUAGAUAUUGGGAGGAACACCGAUGGCGUAGGCAGACGACUGGCUCAUUCCUGACACUAAGGCACGAAAGCGUGGGUAGCAAACGGG
rnacentral:rRNA from 1 species